rnacentral:rRNA from 1 species
AGGAUUAACGCUGGCGGCGUGCCUGACACAUGCAAGUCGAACGAGGCCGCAAGGCCGAGUGGCGGACGGGUGAGUAACACGUGACCAACCAACCUCGAAGUUGGGAAUAGCUCUGCGAAAGUAGGGGUAAUACCGAAUGUGGCCCAGGGCGGGCAUCCGCCUUGGUCUAAAGAUUCAUCGCUUCGAGACGGGGUCGCGGCCUAUUAGCUUGUUGGUGAGGUAACGGCUCACCAAGGCGAUGAUGGGUAGCUGGUCUGAGAGGACGACCAGCCACACUGGGACUGAGACACGGCCCAGACUCCUACGGGAGGCAGCAGUGAGGAAUCUUCCGCAAUGGGCGAAAGCCUGACGGAGCAACGCCGCGUGUGGGAUGAAGACUCUAGGGUUGUAAACCACUGUCGGAGGGACGAUCGUGACGGUACCCUCCAAGAAGCCCCGGCUAACUACGCGCCAGCAGCCGC